rnacentral:rRNA from 1 species
UACGGAAGGCAGCAGUGGGGAAUAUUGCACAAUGGGCGAAAGCCUGAUGCAGCUAUGCCGCGUGUAUGAAGAAGGCCUUAGGGUUGUAAAGUACUUUCAUCGGGGAGGAAAAACAAAACUAAUAAUUUUAUUUCUUGACGUUACCCGAAAAAGAAGCACCGGCUAACUCCGUGCCAGCAGCCGCGGUAAUACGGAGGGUGCUAGCGUUAAUCAGAAUUACUGGGCGUAAAGAGCACGUAGGUGGUUUUUUUAAGUCAGAUGUGAAAUCCCUGGGCUUAACCUAGGAACUGCAUUUUGAAACUGAAAUACUAGAGUAUCGUAGAGGGAGGUAGAAUUCUAGGUGUAGCGGUGAAAUGCGUAGAUAUCUGGAGGAUACCUGUGGCGAAAGCGGCCUCCUAAACGAAUACUGACACUGAGUGCGAAAGCGUGGGGAGCAAACAGGGAUUAGAUACC